CUAUACCUUCGUAUCUUCCGGACUCUGGAUUCCCCGCUCCUUGUUCUCGCGUUCUCGUCUCUCUGUGAUAAAGUUGCAUAUUUAGAUUUUUCAUCAUUUUCUUACCGAAGCAAAGAUGAAAGUGAAACUCGUAAUGACACUUUCAUGGAUGGUGAUAGUACUUGCUUUGGCAACUAACGAAACUGGUGGUAUUGAAAAACUUCGGGUUCCUAGAGUGGUCGUCCGUCCUGGUCCCAGCCUGCACCAGACUGAUCUCUCUCCUCCUCGAGUUUCAACGAGAAUUAUUGGUGGAGUAAACGCUCAAUCCGGCACUGUAGCAGCUCUGAAUAGGCCUGGUCCCGAUAAUGUGGGGGUCCGAACCCCCCCGAUCAUUAGAGCCGGGUCCCAAGUACCUACGCGGCGCUGUCUGAUUUACAAUGAGUUCAAUUUGUGCGUCAGAUACGUAUAGUGCCGCAAAGACCUUAAUUACUUAGCACAACUUGAUUCUAGAUGUUAUAAAGUGUUUAUAUGGAGAAGUUCUCGGCAGACGAUACAACCUAGUGUACAUGGCUACUGUGGUUAUUUGAAAAGAAAAUAUACUUUAAAUAUUAAUAAA
rnacentral:lncRNA from 1 species